ACCCGGCAUAGCUCAGGUGGUAGGGCAUGAGACUUUUAACCUCUGGGUUGCGGGUUCGAGCCCCACAUUGGGCA